rnacentral:rRNA from 1 species
CUACGGGAGGCUCCAGUGGGGAAUAUUGCGCAAUGGGGGAAACCCUGACGCAGCAACGCCGCGUGAGUGAUGAAGGCUUUCGGGUCGUAAAGCUCUGUCAGGUGGGAAGAAUAAGUUGAUUCCCAAUAAGGAUUGACUUUGACGGUACCGCCAGAGGAAGCACCGGCUAACUCCGUGCCAGCAGCCGCGGUAAUACGGAGGGUGCAAGCGUUGUUCGGAAUCAUUGGGCGUAAAGCGCGUGUAGGCGGUUUGGUAAGUCAGGUGUGAAAGCCCUAGGCUCAACCUAGGAAUGUCAUCUGAAACUGCCAGACUUGAGUACGGGAGAGGAGAGUGGAAUUCCCGGUGUAGAGGUGAAAUUCGUAGAUAUCGGGAGGAACACCCGUGGCGAAGGCGACUCUCUGGACCGAUACUGACGCUGAGACGCGAAAGCGUGGGGAGCAAACAGGAUUAGAUACCCGGGUAGUC